CAUGGCCCUUACGAGUAGGGCUACACACGUGCUACAAUGGCGCAUACAGAGGGCAGCCAACUUGCGAAAGUGAGCGAAUCCCAAAAAGUGCGUCGUAGUCCGGAUUGGAGUCUGCAACUCGACUCCAUGAAGUCGGAAUCGCUAGUAAUCGUGGAUCAGAAUGCCACGGUGAAUACGUUCCCGGGCCUUGUACACACCGCCCGUCACACCAUGGGAGUGGGCUGCAAAAGAAGUAGGUAGUUUAACCUUCGGGGGGACGCUUACCACUUUGUGGUUCAUGACUGGGGUGAAGUCGUAACAAGGUAGCGCUAGGGGAACCUGGCGCUGGAUCACCUCCUUAAACGAUGAU
rnacentral:rRNA from 1 species